rnacentral:rRNA from 1 species
CCUACGGGCGGCAGCAGUGGGGAAUAUUGCACAAUGGGGGCAACCCUGAUGCAGCGACGCCGCGUGAGUGAAGAAGUAAUUCGUUAUGUAAAGCCCUAUCAGCCGGGAAGAAAAUGACGGUACCUGAGUAAGAAGCCCCGGGUAACUACGUGCCAGCAGCCGCGGUCAUACGUAGGGCGCAAGCGUUAUCCGGAUUUACUGGGUGUAAAGGGAGCGUAGGCGGCAGUGCAAGUCCGGAGUGAAAGGCGGGGGCUCAACCCCCGGACUGCUGUGGAAACUGUACGGCUGGAGUGCAGGAGAGGUAAGUGGAAUUCCUGGUGUAGCGGUGAAAUGCGUAGAUAUUAGGAGGAACGCCAGUGGCGAAGGCGGCUUACUGGACUGUAACUGACGUUGAGGCUCGAAAGCGUGGGGAGCAAACAGGAUUAGAUACCCCUGUAGUC